rnacentral:rRNA from 1 species
UACGGAGGAUCCAAGCGUUAUCCGGAUUUAUUGGGCUUAAAGGGUGCGUAGGCGGUUUAUUAAGUCAGUGGUGAAAGACGGCAGCUUAACUGUCGCAGUGCCAUUGAUACUGAUGAACUUGAAUGUACUAGAAGUAGGCGGAAUGUGACAAGUAGCGGUGAAAUGCAUAGAUAUGUCACAGAACACCGAUUGCGAAGGCAGCUUACUAUGGUAUAAUUGACGCUGAGGCACGAAAGCGUGGGGAGCAAACAGG